rnacentral:lncRNA from 1 species
GCUUUGCGCAAUUUGGGAUCUUUCAUUUCUACGCUUUACUCCAAUUCUUUUGAAAAUAUAAAAUAAUAAUGGUAAAAAAAAAAAAAGAAUUUGGCAGAAGAUGAAAAGAUAAUGUAGCUGUUGUAAUUUCCUCUGAAGAAAUUAGUUACUGUUUAAUCCAAACAUCAGAUGCUCCUUAGAGGUAAAAACGUUUGCAUAUUCAAUUCUUAUCUCUUAAUUAAAAGAAAAUUUACAAAGGAAGCUUCAGAGCUCUUAAAAAUGUGCUGUGCAGCGUAGUCUUAAACCUUCAAAAAUAGUAGCAAAUACUUCUCAAAUCUUUCAAAUAAAGUAAAAGAAUGGACCAAAGUUUUUAAAAAAUAUUUUUAGAAAACAUAUAAAUGAUUUAGAUAGAUAUAAAUUAUUGCACAUAAAAAAUAAUAAGUCACUUUGUGUUUCAGUAGUAAGGAACCCAUUAUUUUCCUUAGAAGUUCGGGUCCGCGGUUAACUCAAUCAGGUAUAUUUCUAUUGCUAUUCGGCCAUUCUAUGUGGCUGCACAAUCGACAUCCUAUGUGGCAAACUUUUAAAUUUUAUUUUUAAACCAAAAGUAUAAUUAACGUGUUUUUCCCAAAAAGAGCCCAACUUUUCAUCUUUCCAAUACCAUAAAGAAUGGAUCUACAGAGUACAUUUCAAUCUCUCUCUCUCACCUUAUCCACCGUCGCACUCCGACGGCGGCACCACCGAAAAUUAAAGCCUCAUCUUCUCUGAUAACUUUUGCUAACUUCUUUAAAGAAUAUUGAAUUGAAAAAUUGGUUGCGUCAACCCAAAGGCUGAAUCUCUUUCUUUUUCUUAACUCACCCGUACUCCGACUACAACCACCACCGAUUGCAACUCAUGGGCAGAAGAUUUAUAGGUGCUCGAUUGUUUGAUUUGCCAAGUUUCUCCAAAAGAAGGCGUGGAUGAAUUUGUAAGUGCUGUACAUUCUUUUCUCUACCAGUUUUUUUUUUUUUUUUUAAUUGAUGGAUGCAUUCUUGAAAGUGUUUUUAGCAUUCUGUUUAUUCAUACUCGGGAAAUGGGUUUAAGCCACUUCUUAGGUUUUUUCUAAAUUUUGUUUGCCCAAUUUCUUCAGUCUCUGUUUAUUUUCUGAGUGCCGUGGAAAUGUAUCGUUAAUGGAUUGCACCAAUUCAAUUUGUAUUUUAUAGAAGUACAGAGAGAACCCUUAUCUAUAGAUUUGCACCAUUGGCAUUGCUAAAAAUUAUCUUGUCACUCUGCCAAAUUCAGGUUUUGAUAAUGUGUAUAUGGUUGCUGUAUGUGUUUAAAAUUCAAUGUCACAUGAAAGCACAUUUUCUUGAAUGCUAUGAUGCUGAAAUUUUCACAACCAUUGAUGUCAGACUUCUGUACCAUAUUAAAUUUUAAACAGAUAGACGCUGCUGCAAAUUAUGAAUGCUAUCGGUGAACGUUGCUGCAAAUUGAUCAAGAAUGCAUUACAUUUUGAACUACUUUUUUGUAGUUUCGCUUUGACCAAAUCAUUCAAUUCUAAAGGUUUGUCCUCUCUUAUGUGUACGAAUUCUUGAUAUUCUGUGGAAUUAAAGAGUGUAUAAUGCCUAUCUUCUCGUGUUUAUUAAGUCGACACCAUUCUGUGAAAUUAAACUGUAACAAUAACUAGUUAAAAAGUAAAACAAAAAACCAAUAAUAGAAAAGGGAUAGUUGGUAUUGAUUAUAAAAUUCUUGUUGAUGGAAUUAGUUUUUCUUCCAAUACAAAUUGAUCCCGGGAAUCAUUUUUAUUUGUCCUUGUAUAUUAUUUUAGAUUUAUUGGUUGGGUGAGCAAUUUUUUCCUUAUGCUUUUCUUUGUAGCGAAAAUUCCUCGAUAAAUCUUAAUUCCGAGCUCAUAAAACAACCAAACGAACACCAGUUUACCUCGACUCGAUCUGAGACUUUCACUUUCACUUUGGACUGCUCUCUUUCUCUCUAACCCCAUAAAGGAGAAGGGUGGUGGUGUUAGCAAUCCACAAAGGUAUGGAGAGGAAGACGAAGAUAUCACAAUGGUUGAAUCCCACUCACAACCACACAUGGCUUCCCUCUCUCUCGGUUGCCUCUCUUCUCUCAACUCUCCUCUCCAUUGCUACAACACACACACACCACCAAAAACGGUUGGGAGGUAAAUACAUAUAUAUAGGUUAGUUUAGGUCACUCUAAUUGGGCUUAGGGUUCACUAAGCGGGUUACCAAUUAACCUAAACUAAUGGGCCAAUAUUCAAUUCCAUAUUAAUCACUAAAUGGUCCAACUAACCAAAUAAUCAUCCAACACAAACCCGAACCAUCCAAAAGUAUAGUUCAUCUCCGAGUCGAGCCAAGUCCAUGGUGUCGAUAAAUAAUCCGAUAACUGUUUUAAAUCAUCACCCGGAUUAUUGGGUAUCAAAAAACCCAACAAUCUCUACCUUGAUGCCCAAUAAUCUGCAAGCAACCAAAACACACAGUUUAUACUUGCACAAUCAAGAUAAUCCAAUAAAAUUGGAAUAACAGACCUUACCUCGUGUUUCCAACUUGAAACACAUACGAUACUUGCUCCAUGUACUCACCAGAGCUAAGGUCAAGAACACCCAAGUAGAAACAAGUAUUCACAGUGAACAAACAAUCAUGUGAUGAAGAUAUAUAAAGGAUAACACACACAAAGAUCUUUUCAAAACCACGUUCACACAAACCACAAAUUAACACUUAGUUAAUCAACACACGGUCAUGCACAUAUGCAACAAAUGCAUAAAUGACCCCAUGAAAAAUCUCACCACACUUAUCCUAUCCCAUUCCGUAUUACUCCCACCUCGAGAACACAUAUCUCUUCUCAUCGCCCACCAUGCUCACUAAACCAAUCACUUAACUCAUGUCUAAUUGGCAAGUCACAAUAGAUACUAAGCUCAGGAAUAAUCCUCUAUCACCACAUCAUUUCUCCUAACCUACGUAGAUAAUGAGAUUCCACCUUACAGAAGUGAUAGAAGUGCCUCUCUCACACUCCAACUAUACAGGGUCUCUUUCACAGAUAAAGGAACACAUUUGAUCACAUCUCCACUCGUGAUCCAAAUGUCACACUCUACAUCCCUCGUGCAUAUCAUCAAUGCACCUCUAGGCAUCUAUACUCCACCUUGCCAAAAGACAUCCAACUCACUGCUAUUGCAUCUCAAACUCACUAUGGCAAAACAACACCUUUCGGUGACCACAAAGGUUACUCACCAAUGCUCCCAAAAAAUUCACAAAGAAAAUAGUGAAGGUGGUACUUUCAAAGAGAAUCGAAGAAAGAGUCGGUUACUUCACUACAUUUUGAACUACUUUUUUGUAGUUUCUCUUUAACCAAAUCAUUCACUUCUAAAGGCCUG